rnacentral:rRNA from 1 species
GACGUAGGGCGCGAGCGUUGUCCGGAUUUAUUGGGCGUAAAGAGCUCGUAGGCGGCUUGUUGCGUCAGCUGUGAAAACCCGACAGCUCAACUGUGGGCUUGCAGCUGAUACGGGCAGGCUGGAGUUCGGUAGGGGAGACUGGAAUUCCUGGUGUAGCGGUGAAAUGCGCAGAUAUCAGGAGGAACACCCGUGGCGAAAGCGGCUCUCUGGGACGGUACUGACGCUGAGACGCGAAAGCGUGGGGGAGCGAACAGG